AGCUCCAAUAGCGUAUAUUAAAGUUGUUGCGGUUAAAAAGCUCGUAGUUGGAUCUCGGCGAUCAGGGGGCGGUUCGUUAUUUGACGGUACUGCCCCAUUUGAUCGUAUUUUUGCAAGAGGAUUGGGGGUCCCCUUUGUUGGGUGUCUCCGGUCGCUUGCAGGUUUACUUUGAAAAAAUUAGAGUGCUCAAAGCAGGCUUACACGCUUGAAUAUUCGUGCAUGGAAUAAUAGAAUAGGAAGUCGUUUCUAUUUUGUUGGUUUUCGGAAAAUGACUUAAUGAUUAAUAGGGACAAUCGGGGGCAUUAGUAUUCAAACGACAGAGGUGAAAUUCUUGGACCGUUUGAAGACUAACUACUGCGAAAGCAUUUGCCAAGAGUGUUUUCA
rnacentral:rRNA from 1 species